AGAAAUGAAUCAACAUACCAUUGGAAACUAGCCUCGCGCGAAGAAGAAAAGGGACCAUUGUGCUACAAAAUGCACCGGAAGUGUACGCGAGGACAUCUUCUUUCCGGUGUUACGAUCCAUCACAUCAGUCUAUUCCACGUCUGGUAGAUAGAUUCCGGUGUUGGGGAGUGAACUGCUGAAAGAAGAAAAAACAGUAUUGUGCAUCUUCCGAGACAGAGUGUGAUAGUGCUGUUUUGUUUUGUUGGGCGUUGAAGAGGAGCAUUGUGGUUGACGCGCGCGUUAGUGUGUAAAUCGAAAUUGAACGAGUUUCGGUGAGUGAGUGACAAAGGCGCGCUAGACGUGGGGGGGUCCCCGAAUACUACUCCACCGCGAGAUUGCUGUCGGCUCCUCGGCGCCAUUGUGCCAUGGUCCGGAGUAGUGGGAUGGAAAAGCACAAAACACAUCUUCCGGACUGCCGGAAGCUUAACGUCACCGAUGGAAUCCCCGGCCCCCAUCCGGCUUGUUGUUGUUGCAAGCGCUGCAGUACCUUUUUAAAAGGGGGAGCGAGUAAUGCAUGCGGUUGACGCGCUACCUUCGCACGAAAACCUAUCUUUCCGGAUUGCAUUUGUUUCUACGAGAAGCAGAAAGACGAGAGAGUUGCGCUAUGCCUCAAAAUCCUUAACAACCAAAACGGAAGGCGAUAAAUGGGCUAAUUUGUUCGGAUGGUAACACUACACUUUGCAGUCCGGGAAUGCCGGCACGGGAAUGCUCGGAGAGUUGCGAAGAAAUGAAAGAAUAAGGCCGACAAAGCGUAGAACAAACUUCACCACCAAUACAACAAGCCAACUCCAUCAAAAACCCAACCAACAAAUCUGCUGUCAAAAUUCAAGAUUGUGCUGGAUUCCCAAUUAACAAAAAAAGAACAUAGAGAUGGUCUUGGAGGCUUCCGACGCGGAAGUCGGGAUAAGACAAACGCGCGUUCUUGUGAGCAAUUGCGCACUACAACGGUACCAUAACCCAGCGUAAACUAUAAAAAGAUAAGAAUACGUCUAUACGCACGCAAAAUGUUAGCGUUAAAUAGCUGCAGUUCUUUCAACCUUCCUUCCUUCUUUUUGCAUAAAACUUCGACCUGCUUGAUUAUUCCGUAAUAAAUAUUGCCACAGUCUUGGUAGUCGGCCCUUUGCAAAUCGCGCGGGAAAACCUUACACCCCGACGUGCCGUCGUUACUCAUAGCAGCAGAUAGUACAACUUCUAACUCAUCCGCGCCACUUUGCUUUCACCUCUUCCCUUACUUUAUUUUCUUCCUCUUGUUAUCGUAUGCUUGUUGCCCCCAUUUUCCGAGAACUAUUUUUGCCCUUUUCAUCCUUUACAUCCAGCAGCAGCAGCAACAGAACGCAACAUAAAAACACACACCGGGAAAUGCAAGAGAUGAUAUGCUUCCCCCGCCUUUUUGCGCCAUUCGGGUGGGAAUUCAGUUUUCUCGAGUGGCCCAAUUUACAUAUUUUUAUGUGCAUUCAUAAAUAGUAAUCAAGAAAUACUUUUACUUUCUUGGCGCUUUCUUGUUGGGGUGAGAUUACUGCACCACCGCGGGACUGACAGGCGGGUGCUGCUGCUGCUGUGGGAAAUGCUGCUGUGGAACUCAUCCGACGAAGCACUUGCUCUUGUGAGCUUUGCUUGGUGCUGCUGUGUUUAAGUUAUAACAAAUUUGCUUUACCGUUAGAUGAGGUAAUUGGUGCAUUGUAAAUUCUUAUUUGUCAAGACAGCUAAAGCUUAUUUUAAACAAUUUUAUUAAAGAUAGAUAAAUAACUUUGAAAAAGCCUAGUUUUGUGUAAGGCAUUUAGAUGUCUCACAAAUAUUUUCAUCAAGCAAUACUCAAUUCUUAACCAAAUGAUUCUAGAAAUUCAUUCGCUCUUUGUCGCAUUCAUGUGGAAAAUGGAUAAUUUCUGAGCAAAACAAAAAUAACAAAUUGAAUAUGACAAUAUUCUUUAUCUCGGUCUCCUUCCGGCAACGAGGACGGUCGAAAAGCGCAAUUAAUAUCGUCAUAAAUAUACAAGAUUUAUUUCGAUCCUUGGGAUGCCAUCCCGCUGC